GCCCGGUUAGCUCAAUCGGUAGAGCGUGAGACUCUUACGAGUACACAACUCUGAACAUCAAAUCUCAAGGCUGCGGGUUCGACCCCCGCAUUGGGCU
rnacentral:tRNA from 1 species